rnacentral:lncRNA from 14 species
UUUGGGAGUGGAAACGUUUCUCCGGCUCGGCAGACUGCCUCUCUCCCGCUCCCCUCCGUCCCGUCCUCCCUGCCUGGCUGCUGAUGUGGGAGCCAUGCCCUCCCUCUGCCGCCUUCUCUGCUCUGCCUGUGAGUUUCCCCGCUAUAUCUUCAUACUUGACAUUUUCAACCAGUUUCCAGAGCAUGAUGGCAGGCUGUUCUCUAGGAGCAUCCCACCCUCCUCAUUUCAAAGGGUACAUCUUCUGAAAACUCGACCCUCAAAAGACAAGAGCCAAAUAUCAGCCAGGUAUUACAACAAGAGCUGGACACUGGUACCGCUGAAAGUUGUUUAAACAGAGGCGAGUUUUUCCACAGCACAGCCAUCGCUGCCUGGAGGAAGAGGAGGAGGAGAAAAGGGUGCAUCUUUGGAGUGGGUUGGACAGAUAAUUUCAACCAAAUCCUGAAAAAGGAGAAAGGAUGUAUGCUGUUUGCGUGCGGAUGCGCGGGAGAUACACAUGCAGCCACCUCCCUCCCUCAUGCACCUCUAGAUCUGAAUGGCCCUCUUCGAAAAACACCAGGGACAGUUUGCUAUCACUUUCGUUAAAGUCUUUGAGUCACGGCCUGGAAGGCUGGCACAGGGCAGCGUUAAUGUGCUUCGUGACAGCUAAUGCUUUACAAUUUCGUGGCACCCUGAAUUAAAUAUGCUCUACGUGCUGGGGGAGGGGAGAGGAGGAGAGGAAAAAGAAGAAAUCAAAAAUAGACUUGCCGACCCCCGGCUCUUUGGUAGCAGAAUGGUAUGGACAAUAAAUUCUAACUUUCA